rnacentral:tRNA from 1 species
ACAGAGGUGGUUCUGUGGUUGAAUUCUUGCCUACCAUGCAAGAGACCCAGGUUCGAUUCCCAGCCAAUGCA